rnacentral:rRNA from 1 species
GAUGAACGCUGGCGGCGUGCCUAAUACAUGCCAGUCGAGCGAACAGACGAGGAGCUUGCUCCUCUGACGUUAGCGGCGGACGGGUGAGUAACACGUGGAUAACCUACCUAUAAGACUGGGAUAACUUCGGGAAACCGGAGCUAAUACCGGAUAAUAUAUUGAACCGCAUGGUUCAAUAGUGAAAGACGGUUUUGCUGUCACUUAUAGAUGGAUCCGCGCCGCAUUAGCUAGUUGGUAAGGUAACGGCUUACCAAGGCAACGAUGCGUAGCCGACCUGAGAGGGUGAUCGGCCACACUGGAACUGAGACACGGUCCAGACUCCUACGAGAGGCAGCAGUAGGGAAUCUUACGCAAUGGGCGAAAGCCUGACGGAGCAACGCCGCGUGAGUGAUGAAGGUCUUGGGAUCGUAAAACUCUGUUAUUAGGGAAGAACAAAUGUGUAAGUAACUAUGCACGUCUUGACGGUACCUAAUCAGAAAGCCACGGCUAACUACGUG